rnacentral:rRNA from 1 species
GAUGAAUGCUGGCGGCGUGCCUAACACAUGCAAGUCGAGCGGCAGCGCGAGUAGUUUACUACUUGGCGGCGAGCGGCGGACGGCUGAGUAACGCGUGGGAACAUACCCCAAAGUGAGGGAUAACCGCCCGAAAGGGUGGCUAAUACCGCAUAUGAUCUUCGGAUUAAAGGAUUUAUCCGCUUUGGGAAUGGCCUGCGUACGAUUAGAUAGUUGGUGAGGUAAUGGCUCACCAAGUCGACGAUCGUUAGCUGGUCUGAGAGGAUGAUCAGCCAGACUGGAACUGAGACACGGUCCAGACUCCUACGGGAGGCAGCAGUGAGGAAUCUUCCACAAUGGGCGAAAGCCUGAUGGAGCAACGCCGCGUGCAGGAUGAAGGCCUUCGGGUCGUAAACUGCUUUUAUGAGUGAAGAAUAUGACGGUAACUCAUGAAUAAGCACCGGCUAACUACGUGCCAGCCGCCGCGGUAA